rnacentral:rRNA from 1 species
ACUACGGGAGGCAGCAGUGAGGAAUAUUGGUCAAUGGGCGCGAGCCUGAACCAGCCAAGUAGCGUGAAGGAUGAAUGCCCUACGGGUUGUAAACUUCUUCUAUAAAGGAAUACAGUGAGGCUCGUGUGCCUUUUUGUAUGUACUUUAUGAAUAAGGAUCGGCUAACCUCGUGCCGUCAGCCGCGCUAAUACGGGGGAUCCGAGCGUUAGCCUGAUUUACUGGGCGUAAAGGGGGCGCAGACGGCGAUGCAAGCCAGGGGUGAAAGCCCGGUGCCCAACCCCGGGACUGCUCUUGAAACUGGGAGGCUGGAGUGCAGGAGGGGCAGGCGGAAUUCCUGGUGUAGCGGUGAAAUGCGUAGAUAUCAGGAGGAACACCAGUGGCGAAGGCAGCUUACUAAACUGCCACUGACAUUGAUGCUCGAAAGUGUGGGUAUCAAACAGGAUUAGAUACCCUUGUAGUC